rnacentral:rRNA from 1 species
UACGUAGGGUGCGGAGCGUUGUCCGGAAUUAUUGGGCGUAAAGAGCUCGUAGGUGGCUUGUUGCGUCUGCCGUGAAAGCCCGUGGCGUUAACUACGGGUCUGCGGUGGAUACGGGCAGGCUAGAGGCUGGUAGGGGCAAGCGGAAUUCCGUGGUGAGCGGUGAAAUGCGCAGAUAAUCAGGAGGAACACCGGUGGCGAAGGCGGCUUGCGUGGGCCAGUUCUGACGCUGAGGAGCGAAAGCGUGGGGAGCGAACAGG